rnacentral:rRNA from 1 species
AUGUUGAUGUAAGACUACUUUGCGGAGAAUCCAACAUAUCCGCCACACCUCUUCCGGAGAAGGUACCGAAUGCGACGAUCCCUGUUUGUGAAAAUUGUUCAAGUUUGCGAGGCCAAUUGUCGGUAUUUUACUCAAAGAAGAAAUGCCAUGGGCUUGAAGGGAUUUAGUGCAUAUCAAAAAAUCUCGGCAGCUAUGCGGGUAAUUGCAUACGGCAUUCCGGCUGACUAUGCUGAUGAGUACGUUCGCAUUGGUGAAGAUACUACAAUUGAGUCUGUGCGUAGGUUUGCCAAAGUGAUCAUCCGUAUAUUUGAUCCUGAAUAUCUUCCGGCACCAAACAAGGAAGACAGAAAAAAAUGGAUGGUAUCUAAUGAUAGAAGAGGUUGGCCUGCAUGCUAG